AGGGUGUAAACGCUGCAGACUUGGUGUUGGAAGCCCUUUGGGGGCAUUCAGUGCCGGAGAGAAGUUGUUAAGUCUGCUACUUGGGGAGUACGUCCGCAAGGAUGAAACUUAAAGGAAUUGGCGGGGGAGCACCGCAACGGGAGGAGCGUGCGGUUUAAUUGGAUUCAACACCGUAAAACUACACCAGGGAAGACUGUUACAUGAAGGCCGAGAUGAAGACUCUGCCAGAUUUCUAGAGAGGAGGUGCAUGGCGUCAGUGACU
rnacentral:rRNA from 1 species